rnacentral:rRNA from 1 species
CAGCCGCCACGGUAAAACGGAGGGGGCUAGCGUUGUUCGGAAUUACUGGGCGUAAAGCGCACGUAGGCGGCUUGGUAAGUUAGAGGUGAAAGCCUGGAGCUCAACUCCAGAAUUGCCUUUAAGACUGCCGAGCUAGCAGGUGAGAGAGGUAAGUGGAAUUCCGAGUGUAGAGGUGAAAUUCGUAGAUAUUCGGAAGAACACCAGAGGCGAAGGCGGCUUACUGGCUCAUACUGGACGCUGAGGUGCGAAAGCGUGGGGAGCAAACAGGAUUAGAGACCCGCGUAGUCCCUGUCUCUUAUAC